rnacentral:rRNA from 1 species
GCAGCCGCGGUAAUUCCAGCUCCAAUAGCGUAUAUUAAAGUUGUUGCAGUUAAAAAGCUCGUAGUUGAAUUUCGGGGUUAGUAGGUUGGUCAUGCCAUUGGUAUGAACUGGUCUCGCUGAUCCCUCCCUCUUGACGAACUGUGAUGCCAUUAAUUUGGUGUCGCAGGGAAUCAGGACUGUUACUUUGAAAAAAUUGAGUGUUUAAAGCAGGCUCACGCUUGAAUACAUUAGCAUGGAAUAAUGAAAUAGGACGUUUGAUCCUAUUUUGUUGGCUUCUAGGAUUGACGUAAUGAUUAAUAGGGAUAGUUAGGGGCAUUAGUAUUCAAUUGUCAGAGGUGAAAUUCUUGGAUUUAUUGAAGCUAACUACUGCGAAAGCAUUUGCCAAGGAUGUUUUCAUUAAUCAAGAACGAAAGUUAGGGAUCGAAGACGAUCAGAUACCGUCGUAGUCUUAACCAUAAACUAUGCCGACUAGGGAUCGGAUGAUGUUAAUUUUUAUGUACU